rnacentral:rRNA from 1 species
UACGAAGGGUGCAAGCAUUACUCGGAAUUACUGGGCGUAAAGCGUGCGUAGGUGGUUUUUUAAGUCCGUUGUGAAAGCCCUGGGCUCAACCUGGGAAUGGCAGUGGAUACUGGAAAGCUAGAGUGCGGUAGAGGGUAGUGGAAUUCCCGGUGUAGCAGUGAAAUGCGUAGAGAUCGGGAGGAACACCAAUAGCGAAGGCAGCUCGCUGGGACGUUACUGACACUGAGGCGCGAAAGCGUGGGGAGCGAACAGG